UUAAAGGUCCCAUGGCAUGCCAAUUUCACACAACUUAAAAUAGUCCCCUGGUGUGUUAAAAGCAUGUCUGUGACGUCCUUCGGUCAAAAUUCGAUUUGGAUCAAUUAUUUUAGUGCUCUUUUUAUCAGCUAAAAACAGCUCCGCUCAAAAUCCUCCGUUUUGGGCCAUGUCUCUUUAAUGAAAUGAGCUGCACCUAAGCCACGUCCACUUUACACCCAUCUCUCUGGAAGGGGCUGCGGCUGUGCUCCGAUAGCCAUGUGCUAAUGUUUACACUGGCUCGGUCAUGGCUGCAAGAAGAUCGCUCGUACAACCCUACCAGUUUGAGCCAGAGUCUGACCCAGAGGGAGAGGCUCCGGAAGAAACUCUUAGCCGCAUUCAGACCUAGUCGACACAUCCUAUGUAUUAUUCAAAGCCGCCAGGAGGGUCACGCUUAAGGAGGAAGAUAUGAAUGUAGAAAAAAUUACAACCAGAGCUCUGCUACAAUGUAAGAUUUUGGUGCUCUAAAACUUCUCUGAAGCCUUUGCUAAU